rnacentral:lncRNA from 1 species
AUUGAGAUGCUAAAAUGAGAGAGCUAAAUUGGAAAGCUUUUUCCACAUAGGGGGCCGUGAGCAGGUGGCUGUUUUGUCCUCUGGCACCUUUGGCUCAGACUUAAGCAGCUUCAACGACCGCCAAGAUGCCUGCCAUGCCCACCAAGAUUUAAAGGACUCUGAUAAUUCUUUCUCUCCCCAAACGGUGUUUUCCUUAUCUAAUCCUAAUAACCAAGCCUGGAGGAAUCCCUGACUUCGUGAUUGAAGGCUCUCCAGGUCCCCUAGUUUAAGGGCAGAGAUUUACUUUCUCUGAGGCUACAAAGGAGCGUCUGCGAGAAUGUCUCUACCUUAGACAAAACAGGGAGGAGGGGUGGAGCUCUCCAAAUUGCCUCUGGUUUGGGCUUUUUCUUUCUGUUUUGGUGUAUCGUCUCUGGCCAACAACACCUGUGAGUCCUUGAUGUGACGAUUAGGGAAGAUGUUUUUAAUUCACAUAACUAUUCUUUAGAGAAAAUUGAUCCUGAAACACCUUAUUGCCUUAUCGUAGAAUGACUGCAUUACUCAGAAUUCUUUACCUCUACCGGAAUUUAGUGAAGGGAAGGCACAACGUACAUUAGGAAAAUACAGGACACACUCCAGUCCUUAAACCUUCCACAAUCUUCUAGCUCUUUAAGGUCGAGUGUGAUCCUCCCCAGAACUGCAUCUUCCAGGAAGCUCAUGAGAAAGGAAGGAUCCCAGGUCCCAUCUCUGAUCUGAGUCGGCAUCUGCGUUUUAACAGAAUCCUGAAGCAGUGGUCUAACUCCUUUGGUGGUGUUAUUGUUUGCAUGUAUACCUCCAAAAUUCACAUAUUGAAAUACUAACCCCCAAGGUGAUAGUAUUAGGAGGUGGGGCCUUUGGGAGGUAAUUAAGUCAUGAGGGUGAAGCCCUCAUGAAUGGGAUUAGUACUCUUAGAAAAGGGACCCCAGAGAGGUCUCUUUCCACCAUGUAAGGAUAAAAGUACACGGAGAAGAUGGCAAUCUGCAAACUGGAAAAGGGCCCUCCUCAGAACCUGACCAUCUUGGCACCUUGAUCUCAGACUUCCAUCUUCCAGAACUGUGAGAAAUAAAUUUCUUUUAUAAACACUCAGUCAAUGCUACUUUAUUAUAGCAGCCUGAAUGGAUUAAGACAGGUGGUCUGGUUUAAAGUGAUGUGGUGGCAUCAGAAGUUUAAGGAGAGACUGGAUUUACAGAACCAGAAUCUGGGAUGCUGUUUACAGAGCAAGUUAUUUCCUGCAUUUGGACACUGUCAGCAGGUCGAUUCAGGAGACAGGUGAAAACUUUAUCACCGGGCAGCCUGGAUGAACACCACAACUUUGAUAUCUUUCACUUAAAGGAAAGAUAAGGGCAUCCACUAUUUCUACACCUGGCUGGCAGAGUGAGAGCUCACCAAAGCACUUACAAAUUCAUGGACUAUUAUGAAGACAAGUUAAGAGAUUGUGUCCUCCAAACUCAUCAUUUUUCAGAAAUUGUAUCACAAUCCUACAAGAUAAAUGCACAAGAUAAUUCUUCAAAUCAUUGAGAGUGUAAUCUAUAAUCUUCCUAAACAACGAACAGUAUAGCACUGGUUAAGGAAAUCAUAUAUCAGCAUAAAGAAAUGUCAACAAGAACUAAGAAGGAUCCAGUUCUGAAUCUCGUUAGCAAGUUCAAAGCAAGGCCAAGAAGAUGCAAUUCCCACUGGAAACCUUAUGAGACAGUUAGAAGGGAAGGGGAGCAAAUGUUCACCAGAUGGAGUCGUGCCCUGUCUCCCAGGCUGGAGUGCAGUGG